AAUUCCCAAAUUCAACGUUUUAAAAAUUUUAAGUUUAACAUGUGAAAAGUUUCAAAUGGCAUCGGUGCUUUUUAGGUUUAAAGAGACACUAAUUUCAGAGUAUGGUUUAUCCUGUUUAACUAAAAAUGCAGACUUAGUUGCUAGUGCUAUUGUUUUGUUAGUUCGUGGUUUGAUUGUGAUACUUACACAGUAAAUGGCUAAAUGCCUGGGCCACUACAGGUCGUUUUAAAUCAUUGGGUAAUAAGCUUGAAAAUGUUAUGCGCCCAUUAUUUUCAUAGAUAGCCGUUUUUGCAUACUCAUAAAAGUUUGCGCAUUCUUUUUCCAUGCUCAACAUUAAAUGUGCAUUUUCUUCUUGAGUAUUUUUGUAUAGUACGAAGUCAUCAGAGAGUUGUAAUGAAAGUUCUGAGUUCAGAGUUUCAUGAAAUUGACUUGAUUCUAAGGCAGGAAGAAAUUCUACCCUACUCGGCAUCGAUGGGCUAUGCGGCAAGCGCUUCCUAUAUUUAGUGUCAAGCAAGGGGGUGGAAUGCUCACUACCAGUUUGAGAAUGGCUUUUAGAAUUUAUGGCACUGUUUGAUCGAGAUGAAGUAUUCCAAGGUAUGUUUAAACCUAAUUCACCCUGAACAUCCCGUCCAACUUCAACUUCAGAAGUAUCAAUGUUCCUCAAUACAUCGUCAAUUUCAGAGGGAGUAUUGUUUGAUGGUUUGAGCUUUUCAAUCCAUGGUUUUAAAAGAGGAUGGAAAGAUUCCCAAUCAAAGAAUUUGUUCAAUUCUUUCUUCUUUGCCGAAGAAGCUCCUCUACGACGAACAUACUUUGUUGCUUCCAAAGCAAUCAUUCGUUCAACAUAAUUCUUUCUCCAUUGGGACAAAGUUCGAGUAGACAGUUCUAUGUUUUCAUCUGGCUCCAGCAGUUUUUGGACCUUUCUUCUUUUUAAAGCUCGCGGUUCAUUUUCAUUAUGCUCUGAAUCCAUAACAGAUUGCAAUGGAACGGGUAACGGUAAAACGUCCUCAUCGAUUUCGAACAUGUGAAUCCUUGAUUCUUGUUCUUCACUAUUGUAUUCUCUUUGAACGGAACCAAGAUUGCUAUGUUGUGAAGCAGCUUGUAGCGACGGAUCCGAAUUUAUAGUGCCCUUGGUCAAUUCCUGGAUAUCCCCGUUUUCAUCAAACUCAAAGUCAAGGGGCUCUUCUGUAGAGAAAGCUCUGGAGUCCUCGUAAACAAAGCUCGAAACAUUGUUUCGUAAACUAUAAUUUUGGCUGGUAUUGAUCAAAUAAGAAGUAGAAUCUGGAAGAGUUUCAAGAACUGAAAUAUUGGGAUUUUCCUUGGGUUGAGUGAAAGAACUCAUGUCAACAUGUAGAUCCACAGAAGGUAGAUUAAAUGCAUCGUAGAGACUAACUUCAGGGAUAAAUGCAGGAUCUUCUGCGAGUAGUAACUGCUUUGGGCUAAAAGGUUAGCAAUUUGAAUAUCUGUCAUAUUAUCCAAUAGUACUCGUACUUCGUUUGUUCAUUCUGAAUAUCGAUAUUCUUAAACGGUUUUGAAGUGAAAUGGUCCAAUUCUUUUCGAACACGUAAAUGAAGAGUUGAAACUUGGGCUAAGCAUAAUUAGUAAGAAAAUUGCCAGCCUAAACUACUGUCAUCACAUACAAUGGAAAAAUGAGUAUUGAUGGGCCCAUACACGCGUUACACCAAUCAUUAAAUUACUACUUAAUCGUAGUGCCAACGGUUCUGGAGAAAAGGCAACAAAAUCGCAAGCUUCAUCGAUAUCUACCGACAUAAUGUCUUUCUUGUGAAGCUUGCGUAAUGAAUGUUUUGAACCCAAUGUAGCAGCGAGCCUAUAAUUAUUAGCUUUAUUAUUAUCUUGUAGUA